UACAGAGGGGGCAAGCGUUGUUCGGAAUUACUGGGCGUAAAGGGCGCGUAGGCGGCCUUCUAAGUCAGACGUGAAAUCCCUCGGCUCAACCGGGGAACUGCGUCUGAGACUGAAAGGCUUGAAUCCGGGAGAGGAAUGCGGAAUUCCAGGUGUAGCGGUGAAAUGCGUAGAUAUCUGGAGGAACACCGGUGGCGAAGGCGGCUUCCUGGACCGACACUGACGCUGAGGCGCGAAAGCUAGGGGAGCAAACGGG
rnacentral:rRNA from 1 species